UACAGAGGGGGCGAGCGUUGUUCGGAAUUACUGGGCGUAAAGGGCGCGUAGGCGGCCCGCUAAGUCGAACGUGAAAUCCCCAGGCUCAACCUGGGAACUGCGUCCGAUACUGGCAGGCUUGAAUCCGGGAGAGGGAUGCGGAAUUCCAGGUGUAGCGGUGAAAUGCGUAGAUAUCUGGAGGAACGCCGGUGGCGAAGGCGGCAUCCUGGACCGGCAUUGACGCUGAGGAGCGAAAGCCAGGGGAGCAAACGGG
rnacentral:rRNA from 1 species